UACGGAGGGGGGCUAGCGUUGUUCGGAAUUACUGGGCGUAAAGCGUGCGCAGGCGGUUUUGUAAGUCAGAUGUGAAAUCCCCCGGGCUUAACCUGGGAACUGCGUUUGAAACUACAAGGCUAGAGUGUGGCAGAGGGGGGUGGAAUUCCACGUGUAGCAGUGAAAUGCGUAGAUAUCAGGAAGAACACCCGUGGCGAAGGCGGCUCUCUGGGACGUGACUGACGCUGAGACGCGAAAGCGUGGGGAGCGAACAGG
rnacentral:rRNA from 1 species